rnacentral:lncRNA from 1 species
UAUAGAGCAUUUAAAAAAUGAGUCUGUUACUUCCAGCGAAUAUAUAGAAUUAAUUUGUUUUCAAUGUUUGUAUAUCUUUUUUUCUGAGUAAAUAAAUAUUACCUUCUGAAUGUAAUGAUUUCUGGACUAAUGUUACAAAAACAACAAUCACACCUGUAAUCCCAGCAUUUUGGGAGACCAAGGAGGGCAGAUCACUUGAAGUCAGGAAUUUGAGACCAGUCUGGGCAACAUGGUGAAACUCCGUCUCUACUAAAACAGUCAUAAUGAUAUAAUCAAAAUACAAUUCUAACCACUUAGUACCCUGAAUAUAUCCUUCAGUGUCUCACUGGCACCUACAGGAUAAAGCCCAACCUCUUAGAAUGUAUAUGCGGCCCCUCUGCUUGUCUGUCACCUUCUCUCUCAACAUUUCCUAACACUGUGUUCAUCAAAACCCAGUUGCUAGCAAAUGCCCCAUGCCCCAUGCUGUUUGUCGUAUCUCUUUCUUUGCUCGUGUCAUCUCCUCUUUCUCGAAUCCCCUUCUACUUGUAGUCCCUAUUUCUGCCCUUUACCUGUGUAACUCCUAUUAUAAGACUUGGCUUAGGCCUUGCUCCCAAAGCUUUUCUGACCCUUUCUUUUUUGCUAUCUGAUAUGGUAUGGCUAUAUCCCCACCCAAAUCUCAUUUUGAAUUCCCCACGUGUUGUGGGAAGGACCUGGUGGGAGGUAAUUGAAUCAUGGAGGCAGGUCUUUCCCGUGCUGUUCUCAUGAUCGUGAAUAAGUCUCAUAAGGCAGAGUUUUAUAACUUCUUCCCUAUAAACUAUAGUAAAGAUGACAUCUAUGUUGGUAACUAUAAAACCCCAGUUCUUAGCAUAGUGGCUAAGAUAUAGUGGUUGAAUUCAAUAUAUAACUUUUUCUUUUUGAAAAUAAAGAUAAGGUCUCACUGUGUUGCCCAGGCUGGUCUUGAACUCCUGGCCUCAAGUGAUCCUCCUACCUCGGCCUCUCAAAGUGCUGGGAUUACAGGCAUGAGCAAUCAUGCCCAGCCUCAACACCUAUCUUGGCAUUGUAUCUUUUACUAGAAUUCUGGAAGAUUCACUUAGUGAGUGUUAAUUAAAUAAAAAGUAGCACAGACAUUGUUGCCAAGGACAUAUUGUUUGUUCCAUUUUUCUAAUUUUCACCUUGUUUUAAUUAUAUUAAAAUCCAAGAAUAUUUUUAAUUACAUCCUGAAAGCUAACAAUCACUAAACACAUAUUUCUUAAAUUAAAUCUUCCAAUGGCAAUUGGUAUAGUAUUUUUUUUCCCAUUACUAUUGUACACAUCCAAAGAGGGAGGUAAAACUAUUGUUUUAUUUAACCAUGUUUACACAUUCCUAUCCUUUGCACUAAGGGGGUUUUCAACAAAAUUAGAAUGUUUUUGGAUAUAGGAACAAAUAAGUUAAAUGUUAUUACAUCUACCCCUAAAUUAGCCAUGAGCCAGACAUGGUCCAAUAAUAUCCAUUAGAUGUUUAUUUUACAUUUUAAUAUUUAUUUUGUUAUGCUAGGUGUAAGCCAAGCCUUAAGUGAUUAAUUUAAAUCUUUGGAUAAAUCAAGAUGUGACUGAGCUUCAUAUUGGUAAAAGAAAACAAAGAUGUGUUGUCAACUACAAUACAUACACAUAUAAAAAUAAUUAUAAAACAAGAAUACUUUUCAAUAAAGAUUUAAAGAAAGGCCUGACAUGGUGGCUCAUGCCUAUAAUCUCAGCGCUUUGGGUGUCUCAGGCAGAAGUACCACCUGAGGCCAAGAGUUUGAGACCAGCCUAGGCAAUGUAGGGAGACCCCCUCUCUAUAUAUAUAAAAAAAAGUUAAAAAUUAGCCAGGCAAGGUUACGCAUGUCUGUAGUCCCAGUUACUUGGGAUGCUAAGACAGGAGGAUUGCUUUAGCCCAGGAGUUUGAGGUUUUAGUGAGCUAUGAUUGCUAUGAUUGCACCACUGUAUUCUGGCUUGAGAGACAGACUGAGAUCUUGUCUCUAAAAAAAAAAGGUUUAAAGAAAAUAUUUUAUAUGAAUCCUAUUAAUAAGUUCAUAAGAUAUAAUACUUCGGAAAUGUCUUUUAUAUUCCUGGUAACUCCGAAUACCUCAGAAUAGAAAAUAAGUUUACAUUCACAUACCAGAGGAUGCUGUUCAGAUCAAGAAAACUAAUUUAAUCCCUCUGUCACUUUCUCAAAUCUAUGAUAUCUUAAUCUCACAACUUUUGACUGCUAAUAGCCAUGGCUGAGAUUUGUAUUUCAGCUUCUCUCAGGACUUGGCAUUUGUCUCUUGUCUCUAAUUAAUGACAGUCUUUUAAGGACUUUGACUUAGAAUUGUUCACCAGAGCUUUCAUUUUGGUCACCUCUGGAAGUUCUUCUGCCUUACUUGUUCUCUGAGAAUCUACCCAUGGAUAUUGCCACUCUAGUCAGAUGAUUGUUUUCCCAUCAGGAAGUCAUUCAAACAUUUUGCUUCCAAUUUUUGUUUCUUUGGACUCAGUCUUGAUGAAGCUAUAGACACAUGGAUGAACUCAGACUCUCUCUUGAAGAUGAAGGAAAAGUAGAGGUCUCGUUUGGGAGAAAUUUAGGGCAUGUCCUCAGGAAUUGGGAAUUACUGCAAAGCCAAGCAAAUUAAGAUACAAGGUACAUCGCAGUGGGGUACAGAUAAUUUGCCUGGGACUCCUGAUUCUAGAUCACCCCCCAGGGCUUCACAUGGUGAUUCUCAGCAGAGGACAAACCAAGUCAUAGAAUUCAUAUUGGAAAUGGGAGAAUGUGUGUGAGGGAGCAUUUGUAGGUGCCACUUUGAUUAGCAUUGAAAGGACAAUAUACAGAGAUAUUAGGCCUCCUGCAAUACAUAGAGCAGUCCUGCACAAAAAGUGUGUUGGUGAUUUUGAUGAUUUUGAAUCCCUAAUGGGUGACAUGAAAAAAUAUGUCAUCAACUGUCAUCUGAUGGAUUUAAGAUUAUUGAUUUAUCCCAUCAUCUCCCUGCAUUUCUGUUGCCUUUGGCCUUAUCCUACCCCAACCAGUGACUUGGGUCACAACCUUGGCUCUGCUUACCUGCGGAUGCCCUGCACAACAACCUGACUCCCAGUGGAGAGAUUCUUCCCUUUCCCUGCCUCAGGGAAAGAACUGGUUAUUUUACCCAGAAUGGCUAUGUUUGGACAGCAUUCCUAGCAGUAGGAAAGGGUUCCUGAGCCAAUAUGUGACUUUCAAUACAGCUAGAGAGUAAGAAAAUGGACACUGGCCCCAGGAUAUCUGGAUUUGAACUUGAGCUUUACAACUCACUAAAGGGGAGAUGACUUCCAGGAAGUUAUCAAACUUCCUUUUGCCUCAGUUUCUUCCACAGUAAAAAAGGGGUAAUAUUGGUACCUGUCCUAGAGGUUUGUUUUGGAAUUAAAUAUGUCAAUACAUAAAAAGUGCUUGUGAGAGGCUCUGUAAGUAAUAUGUUAGCUUCCCCUCCACCCUCAAGAAGCCUGCAUCACUGAUGAUUUAUCUUGGAAUAGGAAAGUCAAAUGACAAUUAAUGCUGAUCACUAGAUUUGUGACCUUGGUAAUUUCACUUCACCCAUCUUUAUGUUUCUCUCUGGUAAAUAAGAUUAAGAAUUCCUGAGGACAUUUUGCUAAGCGAAAUAAGACAGCGACAGAAGCUCAAUGACCUGAUUCCACUUAUAUAAGGUAACUAAAAUAGUCAACUCAUAGUAGCAGAGAUUAGAAUGGUUGCCAGGGGCUAGAUGGAGGGGGAAAUAGGGAGUUGCAAUUCCCUAUUUAUAAUAAUAGGAAUAGCAAUUCAAUGGGCAUAACGUUUCAAUUUUGUAAGACGGAUGUUAGAUCUGCUGUACAAAAUUGUGCUUAAAAUUAACAAUACUGUAUUAAAACUUACACGUUUGUUUAGAAGGUAGAUCUCAUUAACUGUUCUUGCCACAGUUUUUUUUUAAAGCUACAAUUUUGCCUCAGUUAUUCCACAAUGACUUACUAAGAUUUCUCUUCCAAAGACCGGGAGCAGCACACAGCAGCAAGCAUCACGUAAUGUAGGUAAGAACUCACAGGCAGAGGGUCAGCAGGAAUGAGGGUCUCUUGUUUUUGUAAUAUGCUAGAGAGUUGUGAUUGGACCAUGGAGCUGGGUUCUGGCAGAGAUAUUCUGCCCCUCGCUGCCUUUUUUGUUUUUUUUUAAUGGAAUAAGCAUAACAAUGAUCUUGCUCAGGGAAAUAGACACUUUCAGUUUUGGGGCCAGUUUCUUAAUGAUGUACUUUAAAAAGCCAGUUCUCUAGCACUGGAAGACAAUGAAAAAAGUUGCCAAGCCACCCAGAGAGAGAGCUUCACAGUCCAAAAUUAGCACUCCUGCUUUUCUGUAUAAGACUAAAAGACAAAACAUAAAUAAAUGAAUCUUUAAAAUUAUUAAGCAUGGUGUAAUUUAAAUGGAUGUACCUAUAAGUAUCAAAAAGUAAUUUUGAAUGAUUAUAAUGAAGAAUACAAUAUACAACAUAUAUAAUGCAUUAUAUUAUGUUCUUGA